rnacentral:rRNA from 1 species
AGCGGCGGAGGGUGAGUAACACGUGGGUAACCUGCCUGUAAGACUGGGAUAACUCCGGGAAACCGGGGCUAAUACCGGAUGGUUGUUUGAACCGCAUGGUUCAGACAUAAAAGGUGGCUUCGGCUACCACUUACAGAUGGACCCGCGGCGCAUUAGCUAGUUGGUGAGGUAACGGCUCACCAAGGCGACGAUGCGUAGCCGACCUGAGAGGGUGAUCGGCCACACUGGGACUGAGACACGGCCCAGACUCCUACGGGAGGCAGCAGUAGGGAAUCUUCCGCAAUGGACGAAAGUCUGACGGAGCAACGCCGCGUGAGUGAUGAAGGUUUUCGGAUCGUAAAGCUCUGUUGUUAGGGAAGAACAAGUGCCGUUCAAAUAGGGCGGCACCUUGACGGUACCUAACCAGAAAGCCACGGCUAACUACGUGCCAGCAGCCGCGGUAAUACGUAGGUGGCAAGCGUUGUCCGGAAUUAUUGGGCGUAAAGGGCUCGCAGGCGGUUUCUUAAGUCUGAUGUGAAAGCCCCCGGCUCAACCGGGGAGGGUCAUUGGAAACUGGGGAACUUGAGUGCAGAAGAGGAGAGUGGAAUUCCACGUGUAGCGGUGAAAUGCGUAGAGAUGUGGAGGAACACCAGUGGCGAAGGCGACUCUCUGGUCUGUAACUGACGCUGAGGAGCGAAAGCGUGGGGAGCGAACAGGAUUAGAUACCCUGGUAGUCCACGCCGUAAACGAUGAGUGCUAAGUGUUAGGGGGUUUCCGCCCCUUAGUGCUGCAGCUAACGCAUUAAGCACUCCGCCUGGGGAGUACGGUCGCAAGACUGAAACUCAAAGGAAUUGACGGGGGCCCGCACAAGCGGUGGAGCAUGUGGUUUAAUUCGAAGCAACGCGAAGAACCUUACCAGGUCUUGACAUCCUCUGACAAUCCUAGAGAUAGGACGUCCCCUUCGGGGGCAGAGUGACAGGUGGUGCAUGGUUGUCGUCAGCUCGUGUCGUGAGAUGUUGGGUUAAGUCCCGCAACGAGCGCAACCCUUGAUCUUAGUUGCCAGCAUUCAGUUGGGCACUCUAAGGUGACUGCCGGUGACAAACCGGAGGAAGGUGGGGAUGACGUCAAAUCAUCAUGCCCCUUAUGACCUGGGCUACACACGUGCUACAAUGGACAGAACAAAGGGCAGCGAAACCGCGAGGUUAAGCCAAUCCCACAAAUCUGUUCUCAGUUCGGAUCGCAGUCUGCAACUCGACUGCGUGAAGCUGGAAUCGCUAGUAAUCGCGGAUCAGCAUGCCSCGGUGAAUACGUUCCCGGGCCUUGUACACACCGCCCGUCACUCC